rnacentral:lncRNA from 1 species
CUGUUUUAGAUAGGGCUGUUGGGUGUUGGCUUAUAGAUGUGAUUCAGAGUGAUCAUUUCAUUUCUUUUUUGUUGCAAACUGUCCACUUCUGUAACAUGAUCGUUGUUAGUUUGUACUGUUUUCCAUUAGUAUUUCGGUGUGUAGCUUUCCUUUGAGUUACCCUUUUCUUUGUAAGCUUGGAUGGGGCUAAGGAGACCACUUCAUAGCUGAAAUAUUUAUACAUGCCUUUUAAGCAUUCAAUUUUCAAUUUUCGAUUUUGGCCUAGAGUUCAAUCGUUAUUGUUAGUUUGUACUGUUUUCCAUUAGUAUUUCCGUGUACAGCUUUCCUUUGAGUUAACCUUUUCCUUGUAUGCUUGGAUCGGGCUAAGGAGACCACUUCAUAGCUGAAAUAUUUUUGCGUGCGAUCAACUUGAAGAAGCUGACGUAUGAGGAAAGGAAAGCUAAGUUGAUUGAACGAUUACACACACUGAAUGCCGCUGCCGGUGCGGAUUCCAAAGACGAGGAUUGAAUGUAGGAUGCUGAUUUCAAAAAUACUGAACUUGUUUACCUGCUUUUAGUCAAAUCAGGGGUGGUUAUGUUCCAUUAUCUUCAAACAUCAGUUCAUCACAGAGAGGCUAAAUUCCUCUAUUCUAACAGGUUAAAUCCCAAAGUUCUCAAACCUUCAUCUUCAAUGGCCUGUCUUGAAUCAAAGUUAGUUGCCUGUAACAAGAACAAUGGAAGCCUACUUUGAUGCUUAUAAGAAUGUACAAAUCUCCAUAGCUUGAUGUUCCUUUUCUCUAAUAGCUUCUUCUGUAAUGUAUAUAAUUUCAAACAUAUGUGUAUCUCCUUGAAUUGAAAUGAUAAACAAGAGGAAACUUCUCUUGGC